rnacentral:rRNA from 1 species
CCUACGGGAGGCAGCAGUGAGGAAUAUUGGUCAAUGGGCGCGAGUCUGAACCAGCCAAGUAGCGUGAAGGAUGACUGCCCUACGGGUUGUAAACUUCUUUUAUAAAGGAAUAAAGUGAGGCACGUGAGCCUCGUUGUAUGUGUUCUAUCAAUAAGGAGCGGCUAUCUUCGUGCCAGCGGCGGCGGUAGUACGGAGUAUGCGAGGGUGAUCUGGAUUUAGUGGGUUUAAAGGGAGCGUAGAGGGGUGGUUAAGUCAUUUGUGAAAGUUUGCGGAUCAACCGUAGAAUUGCAAUUGAUACUGGAAGUCUUGAGUGCAAAUAAGGUUGGCGGAAUUCGUGGUGUAGCGGUGAAAUGCUUAGAUAUCACGAAGAACUCCGAUUGCGAAGGAA